CAAUAGCGUAUAUUAAAGUUGUUGCAGUUAAAAAGCUCGUAGUUGGAUUUCUGGUCGGAAGCUCCUGUCCUCUGAUGAGCGUACAAGUGCGUCCUACCAUCCUUCUGUUAACCUUUAAGGCUUUCGCGGCUUUCUAGGGGCUCAGAUAUUUUACCUUGAGAAAAUUAGAGUGUUUCAGGCAGGCUAGCGCCGAAAUACAUUAGCAUGGAAUAAUGGAAUAGGACUUUUGCCUCUUCUGUUGGUCAUGAGGCUCGAGUAAUGAUUAAUAGGGAUAGUUGGGGGCAUUAGUACUUAACUGUCAGAGGUGAAAUUCUCGGAUUUGUUAAAGACUAACUUAUGCGAAAGCAUUUGCCAAGGAUGUUUUCAUUA
rnacentral:rRNA from 1 species